GUACACGCUGUGACUAGCAUAUCAAUAAGCGGAGGAAAAGAAACUAACAAGGAUUCCCUUAGUAACGGCGAGUGAAGCGGGAAGAGCUCAAAUUUGAAAUCUUCAAGGUUUUACCUUGACGAAUUGUAGUUUAAAGAAGUGUUUUCUGCUGAAGUUUUGGUAAAAGUUCUUUGGAAUAGGACAUCAUAGAGGGUGAGAAUCCCGUAUUUGACCAUUAUUUUCAGCUUUGUGAUACACUUUCAAGGAGUCGGAUUGUUUGGGAAUGCAGUCCAAAAUGGGUGGUAAAUUUCAUCUAAAGCUAAAUAUUGGCGAGAGACCGAUAGCGAACAAGUACCGUGAGGGAAAGAUGAAAAGAACUUUGAAAAGAGAGUUAAACAGUACGUGAAAUUGCCAAAAGGGAAGCGUUUAACACCAGUGUUGUUUUCUGAAAAUCAACCUCUGUUAGCUUUAUGCAUGUUUGUUUAGACCUAAUCAGCUAUCUUUCAUGUUCUAUUGUUUGCAGUGGUGCACUUUUCAGUUUACAGGUCAACAUCAGUUUUUUUUACCGUAAAAAAGUUAAAGAAAGGUAGCUCAUGGCUCCGGUCGUGAGUGUUAUAGUCUUUUUCCUAUGCGGUAGGAGAGACUGAGGUCUGCAGUGUAGGCUAUUUGGCUAGAUACUCAGGUGCUAUGUGAUACCAUUUCAUAAACAACUUGUUGAUUAUGUUUUGUCUAUUGCAUACUCGCUUGUACUAUCAUACCUACGCUUAGGAUGUUGAGUAGCGACAUACGCAC
rnacentral:rRNA from 1 species